GUCCACGCCCUAACGAUGUCAACUGGUUGUUGGACGGCUUGCUGUUCAGUAACGAAGCUAACGCGUGAAGUUGACCGCCUGGGGAGUACGGCCGCAAGGUUGAAACUCAAAGGAAUUGACGGGACCCGCACAAGCGGUGGAUGAUGUGAUUUAAUUCGAUGCAACGCGAAACCUUACCUACCCUUGACAUGCCAGGAACUUACCAGAGAUGGUUUGGUGCUCGAAAGAGAGCCUGGACACAGGUGCUGCAUGGCCGUCGU
rnacentral:rRNA from 1 species